rnacentral:rRNA from 1 species
GACGAACGCUGGCGGCGUGCUUAACACAUGCAAGUCGAACGGAAAGGCCCUGCUUUUGUGGGGUGCUCGAGUGGCGAACGGGUGAGUAACACGUGAGUAACCUGCCCUUGACUUUGGGAUAACUUCAGGAAACUGGGGCUAAUACCGGAUAGGAGCUCCUGCUGCAUGGUGGGGGUUGGAAAGUUUCGGCGGUUGGGGAUGGACUCGCGGCUUAUCAGCUUGUUGGUGGGGUAGUGGCUUACCAAGGCUUUGACGGGUAGCCGGCCUGAGAGGGUGACCGGACACAAUGGGACGGGAGUGCGGCACGGACUACAACGGGACGCAGCAGAGGGGAAGGGAGCACAGUGGGCGGAGGGAUGAUCGGGCAAAGCAGCGCGGCGGAAGACGGCAAGCGGGUAGUAAGGCGCAGUCGCCUGAGACGAGACGUGAAUGACGGUAAUGGGAGAAGAAGCACCGGCUAACUACGUG